UGGCCCUACGGGGCGCAGCAGUAGGGAAUUUUCGUCAAUGGGCGCAAGCCUGAACGAGCAAUGCCGCGUGAACGAGGAAGGUCUUCGGAUCGUAAAGUUCUGUUGAAGGGGAAAAAGAGCGGAGAGAGGAAAUGGUCUCCGAUUGAUAUUACCCUUCGAGGAAGUCACGGCUAACUACGUGCCAGCAGCCGCGGUAAUACGUAGGUGGCGAGCGUUAUCCGGAAUGAUUGGGCGUAAAGGGAGCGUAGGCGGUAAGGCAAGUCUGAUGUGAAAGGCCAGGGCUCAACCCUGGGACUGCAUUGGAA
rnacentral:rRNA from 1 species